AAAAAUUUAGUUAAAUUCAUAACGUUAGUUUGUCAAACUAAAAUUAUUAUUAAUAAUAAUUUUUA
rnacentral:tRNA from 2 species